UGCCCUCCUGGCAAUGGGCAAAGAGACAGCUUAUUGGUGGUGGUCUUAUAUCAGUCAGGGGCAGAGCAGAAGGCAGUCCUUUGUUCAUCCUAGCUUGAUGCCUGGCUUGGUGGCCAAAACUGUUUUAUGCCUAGGACACAUAA